CGUUCCCAGGCCUUGUACACACCGCCCGUCACAUCAUGAAAGCCGCUUGUACCCGAAGUCGCCCCUCAAAAGGCGCCGAAGGUAUGGGUGGUGAUUGGGAUG
rnacentral:rRNA from 1 species